GUGAAUCAUCAAAUCUUUGAACGCAAAUUGCACUUUCUGGUAUUCCGGAAAGUAUGCCUGUUUGAGGGUCAGUUAAAUAAAAAUCGGUGUUGUUGCUGCCUUUCGUGGUGACGCGUCGGAGUUGAGUCGUCUUACCUUCGUUUACGAGACGUAAAAUUUUUGCAUGAUUUUCGAACGUAUGUAACUCGUUUACGUACGUUUGAUAUAUCGAAUGCUUAUUAGGUUCGGUCAUCCUCAUGACCCGCGCCUAUGAUUUUUUCAUUAUAUGACCUCAAAUCAGGUAAGAAUACCCUCUAAACUU
rnacentral:misc_RNA from 1 species